GAUGAAGAACGUAGCGAAAUGCGAUACGUAAUGUGAAUUGCAGAAUUCAGUGAAUCAUCGAGUCUUUGAACGCACAUUGCGCCCCCUGGCAUUCCGGGGGGCAUGCCUGUCCGAGCGUCAUUUCUGCCCUCCAGCCCGGCUGGGUGUUGGGCGCUGUCCCCCCGGGGACACGCCCCAAAGGCAGUGGCGGCGCCGCGUCGGGUCCUCGAGCGUAUGGGGCUUCGUCACCCGCUCUUGUAGGCCCGGCCGGCGCUUGCCGACACAUCAAUCUUUUUUCCAGGUUGACCUCGGAUCAGGUAGGGAUACCCGCUGAACUUAAGCAUAUCAAUAAGCGGAGGA
rnacentral:misc_RNA from 1 species